CACUGUGCCUAGUUUCAUCCUCAGAGACUGAUGUGUAAGCUUAAAGUAAAGACAUCAAAUCAAAGUAUCAGCCAUCAAGAGGAAAAACAUUCAAAAUCAUAUUGUGAUACACAAGUCAAGCA